GGACCGGGGUCAGGGCCGCGGGGACAGCGGGGUGAGGGCCGCGGGGGCAACGGGGAAAGGGACACGGGGAUAAUGGGGUCAGGGACACGAGGGCAACGGAGUCAGGAACGUGGGGACAGUUAGGAAAGGGACACAGGGGCAACAGGAAAAGGGACACGGGGACAAUGGGGUCAGGGUCACAGGGACAGCAGGAAAAGGGACAUGGAGACAAUGGGGUGAGGGAUGUGGGGGCAACGGGGUCAGGGGCGCGGGGACAGCAGGAAAAGGGACACGGGGACAACGGGGUUAGGGACACGGGAUCAGGGACGCGGGGGCAGUGAGGAAAGGGGCACGGAGGCAACGGGGUCAGGGCCGCGGGGCCGCAAUUUUUGG